GGGGUUGUAGCUCAGUGGUACAGUGCUCACCUAGCAUGUGUGAGGCACUGGGUUCAAAUCUCAGCACCACA
rnacentral:tRNA from 1 species